CAAGGCUGUGAUUUCCUGGACAUCUCAAAGGAAGAUUUGGUCAAGGUUGUAAUUUCCUGGAAAUCUCAAAGGAAGACUGAGUCAAGGCUGUCAUUUCCUAGAAAUCUCAAGGGAAUAAUUGCUCAAGGCUGUGAUUUCCUGGAAAUCUCAAGGGAAUGAUCUUCCUCAGAGAUGUCCAGGAGCUGAUCUCAAUGAAAGCACGUAGAAAUUAUGAGAUGAGGCAGUCACCCACUGAGGCAAAAGACUGGGUUUGUCUUGAUGUUCAGCUAUGAAAAGACAGGAAGAAUUUCAAAGGAAAAGGUUUACUGGCUCAUCUGGUUUAUGCAGCAGACACAUCACCCAUUUAGCUGUCUGGAGUGAGUGCUAAACCUACAGAAUGGAAAAAUAAAUCAGGUUCUAAAAAGAAUCAAGGUAAAUGGACCCAAAUAAAUGCAUUGAACUGCUGAGCACCUAGUGAAAUGAAAAUUUUCAACACAAAUUACAGGUGUGUACAGAAAGCAGCCAUUCCUCUGUCCCUUCGGAAAUGCCUCAGUGAGAGCAGGCCAUUCCCUAUGAGCAUCCCUUUCUCAAGCUGGACAUGUCACAUUCCUGACACAUCCAGGAGCUGUUUAUUCCCUCUGCGAAAACCCCAGGGCAAAGCAGAACAAUCAUGGAGUCUCUGCUUAACCUGGUUUCACCUCACAGUGCUGGAUAUCUUCUGCUGCAGGAUCUCUUCUCCUGAUCCUUCUCUUACAUCUGCCAGGAGACAGCAGCUGCUCAAAGAAUCCAGGAAGUGCAAUCUGAGAAAAGAUCCAUCCUACCCAGGUUGGUUUUAUGCCAUGAAAGCUUUGAGAAGGUUUCUAUUCCCACUGAGAAGCUCUCUAGUUCCCAUUCUACCUCUGAGUCUGAAAUCCUUGCUGGAUUUGCAGAAUCUGUGCUUGAGGGGCCAUCAGAUGCAUUGGCCUGGUGGGGACUGGAGUCUUCUGUUCUCCCCCCAUUUUCUUGCAGAUAUAGAAGCCAAAGUUCUGCAACUUCAAGCAGGGAUUGGUCUUCUUGCUCCCAACCCUCAUGUCCCCUUUUAGCCUCUCCAAAAAGACACCUGUAAGUCCUCCUUAAGGAUAAUCUUAGUUGGCAUCCUCUCCAAACACCUUGAAAAACUCAUUAACAGACCUCAGAUCCCCAGGAAACCACCAAAGAUAAAUUUCCACAGCUCUGGGGGAAGUUUUCCUCUCUGCAGACCAGAGAGCUCCGUGAGCCACCCGCUGCUCUCCUGAGGGGCUUUUGUUACCCACAAAGCAGCUGUGGGAAAUUUCCUGUGUGGGUUGGAAACUGCCACUGCAGGUUCUGGGGAGGGUCAGUCUGUCUGUCCCCCUCCUCUCUGUGCUACCCUGAUGUACACCCAGCAUGGCUGUGAUGUCCCUGCUCCUGCACCCCUGGGCCCUGACAUCUCCUCUGCCUUUGCAAGCCCUCUCAUAACCCGAGCUCCCCUGCAGGUCAUGCUGGCUCCAGCUUUUCCCCUUUCUAGAGAGCUAUUUCCUUCUCCACGUCCUCUCAGGCCUGCUGAGGAGCUCUCCAAGGAGUUUGCAAUGUCAAAACACCCUCGUAAAUCAGUUCUCUGCAGCUUUCCCAAGAAUGAGCGCACAGGCGCCGCCGUGUCCCUUGGAGCCAUUUCCCACCGUUCCCUUUAAGAGAAUCCAAGCUGCUCCCUGGAUUCUCAGCCCCCAAAAAUUCCUCCAGUGUUUUUCUCAUUGCGUUUCAGAGCGCACAAGUAGGUGUUUGCAAACAAGCCCAGCCAAACAUGAAGCCCCACACUCCCCCAUCCUGACUCGACUCAGGCAUCGGGGGAAAUUUGACAAGCUGUGCAAUGCAUUAUCUCAUCCCUGCUGCAGCUUUCACCCACGCCCUGUCCAAUCAGGAGCCAGUUACCCCACUAAAAAUGUCAAGCCAGCUCAGAAAAGGAUGCUCAAAAACACCUCAUUGCUUUACAGAACCUUAUGCUGUUCACAACUCUUUUCUGCAAGGUUUUGUUUUGUAUUUUUUAAUUAUUGUUGCAGCAAAUUGGCAGCUCACCCCGCCCUGACACUGAACAAUCAGGUGGGUGCUCAGCUGCAACGAAGGAACACUUCUAAAGUUGACAUCCCAGCCUUCAGGGCCUGGUGGCUGUUGGUAGCAAAGUGAUUCCUCACACUGACACAGUGAAAUCCACUAAUAAGCUCCUGCUGGGAUAUUCUUUCUCACCCAUCCAGCAGCAUAACUGCUGAGAAACUCCCUGCCAAAAUAAAUGCCACUGAGAACUCCACCUGUCCUUCCCUGGAUUUUUCCAGCACAAAGUGCCUUGAACAACAACAAAAAGUGGCAUCAGGAGAGGAAGAGAGUCUGACAUAAAGCCCAUCUCUGACCCUAUGAUUGCAAUGAGUCUUUUGUAACACACAGGAAAGCCAAGUGACACUGAAGAAGACAAGGAGGGAAGGGGGACCAUAUGUCUCACCUCCCUGGCUGUCAGCACAUUUCUGACUUGUUAGAAAACCUGGUCCUCAGCCAAAUGCUCUGUUGUCACUUUUCUGAGCAAGGCCUAGAGGGCACAUCCUUGCACUGGCAGUCCCUGGCUGUGUGUGAGAUCCAUGCUGACUCCACAGCAGCAAAAUGCCCUCAAGAAGUGCAGUCAAAAGAGGAAUGUGGUUUGGGGUUGCUUUGAUAGGAGUAACCCGCUGAAAACCCCAAACCCUGCAGUCUGGAGGUGGUGCUCUCAAAGAGAAUUCUCAGAAAUGUCAGCAGUGUCUUUGUAUCCAUCCCUCUGUGCUCUAAAUACAUCUCAGAUUUUAGCACAGCACCAGCUCAAUAGGAUGCUUCACUCAGGAUUUGUGUCCCCCUGUAUUUUCAUCCUGGAAAAAAGUACCCGUGUUUGAGACAGGGUGUUAGAUUGUGGCUGGUCUGUCACCCAGGUCCCCAGUCUCUUCCAAAUGCCAGGUGUCUCAGGGAGAAGCAAAACCCCACUCAGCUCUAGAUGGCAAAAGGCAUCCCCAGAAUGUCCUGUCUGGUGCCUGGGAGUAAUUCCUGCCACCCAGCUGUGCCAGAGGGACUCCUAAAGCUUUCCAUGAGAUAACCCCACCCCAGACCCCUUAGGGAAAGGUAGAAUUGGGUGCACCUGCCAUGGUGGAAUGCCUCCAUACCCCAAUCAUUUGGGACAGCAGCUUUGCUUUCCGUCACUGGAGCUCCACAGCUUGGUGCCAAAUAUCUGCUCUACCACCUCCCUGCCCCUGUCCUUCAUGCACAGUGUCCAUCCUUCUGAGCAGCCUCCUCCCUUCCCAUCUGAAUUGCUGGAAAUCCUGGAGUCUGUAGAAUCCCCAGGGAUUUUCCCUUUAUCAGGCCACAAAUAAGUGCCACCCUGAAGCCCUUUCCAUCUUGCUCACCACAUCAGCUGAUAAACCCCAUCAAACUCCUCCAUCUUUUAUCUCCUUCUGCUUUUCCUCCCCCUCUAUCCACCAAAUUACACAAAGCCACAGGUUCACAGCUGGUUCAUGGGAUCAGUGCACAGAGCCUGAGCACAAUCCAAGAGGCAAAGCCAAACAUCUGGUUUUUUAUCCUUAUGGCAGAUCCAGGAGCCAUAGCUGCUCUUUAGCCAGGGAGAAUAUCAAGGAAUAAAUCUCUGGCCAAAACAUAUUUUAAACCUGAGCUGAGCUAAGGUGUCACAUUGUCUGGGCUGUGAGCUGUGGCUUUACCCUGUUAGGACAGGUAAAGUGCUUCCCCCAAACCCAAACUGGCAUUCAGACACUGUGAGGGGUCCCUGGCCUAGGCUGACCCUCUGUUAGCACAGCCAGUCCUUCCUAGGAAAACACUGACUAAAAUUAGCAGUGGGAAAUACAGAAGGGCUGUCAGGAAUAAGGUUCAUAGGCCAAAAAAAAAAAGAGUUGGAAGUAGAAAUAACUUUGAUUAAAUUAACUGGUGGGUCUAUAGAAAGUAAACAAACUGUUGGGUGCACAGGAUGUUUCCUCCAGGAGCAAAUGCCUCCAAGCUGCUACUCAGCCUUCAAAACUCAACGUGAUUUCGAGCAAUCACACAGAUUGUAACCAGUUGCUAAAUCUGGCAGAAAAACAAGGCUUCCUUGCUGUCCCAAGUGCAUAUGGAAUUCAGGAUGCUUGCCAGGGAAAGGAAGAUGGAUGUCUGGGAGUGUGAUGUGUCUGAGUGAUGGGGAGAAAGCAAAAUGUUUCGUGUUUAUUUUUGUCUGGGGUCAGUGUUGACUCAGAAGGAAGGCAACAGAAACUUGGGGAAACAAACAAAAAAUAACCAGGUUUUCUGAUGGCUGGAGCUGCUCUUGUCUGCAGGUGCUGAGGGAAGCUGGUGUGGUCACUGGUCUCAUGAGUCAUUUGGAGGUGUGAGGACACAAAGCCCUUUCUCUUCUGUCUGCAAACCAGCCUGGGGCUGGGAAGCUCACGGAGAGAGUUCAUUGAAACCUGGAUUAAAUACUCCAUCCUUAGGCUGAAGAUAUUUUUAGACUGAACUUUGUUUUGCUGUAGAAUCUCCCACUCCCACAAGCUCUUCUUAGCUCGAUUCUUCCAUCAGCUUGGAAAGCACCAAAGGAGAAAAGAGAAAGAUAAAGCUCCCUACAGGUCACUAAAGCCACAUCCAUGCAGCUCUGCACAAGGCUGAACAGCUUAGACACACCCAGGACAAGGGUGAAAGAGCAAAGAAAUCCCCAACUGGGCAGCUCAUCCCAACCUACACAUCACAGAAUCACAAAACACCAGGCUGGAAGGCACCUCAAGGAUCAUCUGGUCCAAUAUUUCUUGGGAAAAGCAUAACCCAGACAAGACAGACCAGCACCCUGUCCAAAAGAAUCACAAAAGUGUCCAGUGCUGGGAAUCUACCACCUCCCUGAGAGAUAUUAUUCCAGUGGCUGAUAGUUCUUAUUAGGAAAAAGUUUCCUCUUGUGUCCAACUGGAAUCUUUCCUGGAGUAACUUGUACCCAUCACCCCUCAUCUUUUCCAUGUGGCUCCCUAUAAAAAGGGAAUCUCCAUCUCUGAGGCCACUCUUUACAUACUUUGAAACACCAAGAAGACCUUGAUCAAUUACAUUGAGAUCCAUGGAAAUGGACACAGUCCUGUGCUCCAAAAUAUCUGUGGACCUGAGCUCCAGACCCAGAAAGUCAGAAUUAUGAAGGAAAAUAAGUCAGCCUGGGUAAAGCUGAGCCCAUAUUGCCCCUGGGACCUGAGCUUCAGACCUAGAGGGUCUCUUUCUUUUCUCCUCUGGAGGCACAAAGUUUUCAGGUGUUCUGCCACCUUCCAGACUGCAACAGAUUUCCCUUGCCAGAGAAAAACAAAUCCAUGUUCACCUGCUUGUACAGGUCCUGGAGGUAUCUCUUUGGCAGGCAAGAAAAAGUCCCUCGGUAAAAUUUAAUCCCUAAUGUAAAAUUUAAUCCCUAUUCUUCAAUUAAUCACUUCAUCUGCAAUUAGGCUAAAGCUGGCAUAUCAGAUGUCUGGGUCAGACCUCCCAGUUCCACUUCCAGGUUUCACCUUAAUCAGACACAAAGAGUGAUGAGGGCUGCUCUCCAGGGAAGGUCACUCAUUUCUGUGGGGUAAUUAGUGAUCCCUGCAGUAAAAAUGCUCUUGUACUUCCCCUCACAAGCUUAAUGCUUCAAGUGAUUGUACUCCAGUCAGCCAAAUAAAACCCAGGCUGUUCAUUAGUUCACAGGAUGGAUUUUUCAGAGCUGUGACUGUGCAUGAGGCUUUUCUUUCUCACAUUUACAUUGUGCUAAUCUCUGGUGUGAAAACGUGAGAGCAGCACACAUGGCCACAGGGCUGGAGAGGGCUCCACGUGGUGCCAUGGAUUGACUGGUUUAUUUCUCUUGCACCUUCCAAGGUUCCUCAUGCUGUGCUAAGAAAGCAUCAUGCAGGAAUGAGGAGAGCCCAGAGGCAGGAACACUGCAAGACAGGAGCUGAUAAAUUGCAAGUCAGAGCAAUUAAGCUUUCCUCUUUCCACAUGAUCAGCUGGUCAGAAGCCCAGGAGAGGAACAGGCUGAGCAGGCAGAAUGUGAUUCCAAAGGCAGGAUGCUGAGGAGAAAGAGAAGAGGAGAAAUGCUCAGGUGCCAUUUCUUCAGAUGAAAUAUUAUGCUGGGAGGCAUUCAGCCCUUGCUCACUGCAGAAACGUGUGUGAAACCUGGUGAAUUUUAUGUUUAUUGCUUACUUUUAAUAACCAAGAUUCUGAUCAGCUCAACAAUGACCUCCAGCACACUGGAGCAUUUAUGGUGCCUUCUCUGAACACUCAACAAAUUGUGACAGUCUGCAAAAUAAAGUGACAGAGUGGCUCAUGACCAACAUGGAUUUCUCUCACCUGAGUGCAGUGGUCAUGUCCAUGGUUCACUUUCCCAGCCCAUGGAAACCUCGGGGUGAUCUCUCUAACCUUAUUUUUGGGUGUUAAAUGAGGACAAUUUAGAGUAUCCUGGCUGCUGAUCCAGGAGGUCACAGCAGACAUCAUUAGAAAUCUCCAGCAGCUCUCAUUAAGCUGACUGAAUCAAGCCCUUGCACUCCAGAGAUGGGCACUUGGACACCUAAUUCAUGAAUAAACUGAGUUUGGACUUUGAAA